UGUUGAUCAUGCUUGGUGGUUACCUGGUUAUCAAAUGAUUUAGCAUGGCCUUAUCUGGGACAACUGGGAAACCUCAGCUCUGCUCCCUGUGUCUCUCAUCCUUCAUCAGGCUAGCCCAGCAGUGUCCUUUCACGGCAGUAUCAGAGGACAAAGUGAUUUUCCUACAGAAUAAAUUGAAUUGUGUCAUGGAUAACUAUUAGGAGAAAUAUGGAUGACCAGAAGGAUUAUCACUAGUUGUUACCAAAGUUGUCAGGCCUACAUUGAAUGAGGCCCAUCCAAAUUGAUCAGAGCUGUCUGCUUUCCUCAGUCUACAGAUUCAAAUGGUAAUCUCAUUCAGAAGCACCCUCACAGACACACUCAGAGAUACAUGCAGUGACAUUGAGACUUACCAUGGAAUGAAAAGUGGAGAACUGAGGCAAAUUUGACUUCUAAUGUGCAAAAACAAACAAACAAACAAACAAAAAACCCAAACAAACAGAAACAAAAAGGAUUUUGUAUGCAAGUUAGCUUUUUUUGAAAACAAAAGGAAUUUCCAAAUUCAUUGAUGAUUUAGGGAACAUCUCAAAAACUAAGGACUUAAAUCAUUGAUUUUUCCCAUAAAAUAGUGAAGAUGCUCUUUUUUUCUGGAGUAGCCAAAUUGUAAGACUUGCUUCUCUAGAGAAGGAAUAUCUGAUACAGAGAAAGGAAAAAGAAAGUCUUUCAAUGCUGACUCUGGGGGUCUGGAAGAAGAAAGAGAACAAGAGGACAAGGAAGGCAAAGGUGUUUUAGUAAAUAAAAUAUCACCAGAUAGGGUGGGAUGGCCAGCAGUCAUCAUUGGGAUUUCUGGAAAGAGCACUCCCACAGACCACCUUGGACUAAACUGCUGCAUAGCCCACUGGGCUACCCUGGGCUCUUGAAUGUCAUAGACUAAAUAAGAUGGGUCAAGGUGCUUACAGGUAAGUUUCCAAAGGGAAUAUCAUAGCAGGGGCAAAGCAGCUUUUGUAAAUUUUGCUCACCAGGUAGCCAUAUCUAUAUGAAUCAUAGAUUUCAGAGGGAUUGAAAGUACUAGGAAGAUCUGAUAUGAGGCUUAAUCAGCCAGAUUGCACCACCAAACUCUACCAGCUCACUGUCAGAUGCUGAGCUCUAUCAAUAUUAUCAGCUCAUAUCAAUAUGCCAGCAGGAUAAGAAUCAUGAUCUUAGGGCUCGGAAGAGCCAUGCUGAAUUAAUCUUCUAACAUGAAGUUUCUUAAGCCACAUCUCUCCUCCCAUAUACCUAAAAGCUACCAUAAAAAGGGCCUGAGAAGAGGAUAGAAGUGUGAGUUUACUCCUAAAGAAAUCUUUAACAAUUACAAUUAUUUCCCACAUUACAAUAGGUUCAGGUUAAGAGAUGAUUAGAUUAUUGGUAGACCAAAAUAAAGAAGUACAUUUUCUCUAUGAAUCUGAGUUGUGUAUGUUCAGUUUAUAAUCCUUUUUACACUAAAAUGUGAAGAAGAUAUUAUUCCCAUUUUUGGAUAAGGAAAAAAAAAUCGGAAUGGCUCAAUAACCUAACCAAGAUAAUACAACAAGAAGAGGAUGAAGCAGGAUUUGAGCUGGAUGUUCUGACCCCA